AAAUUGAAGAAGUUUGAUCAUGGCUCAAAUUGAACAUGGCAGCAGGCUAACACAUACAAGUCGAACGGUAGCACAGGAAGCUUGCUCUCGGUGUUGGUGGCGGACGGGGUGAGUAAUGUCUGGAAACUGCCUGAUGGAGGGAUAACUACUGGAAACGGUAGCUAAUGCCGCAUAACGUCGCAAGACCAAGAGGGGACCUUCCCGGGCCUCUUGCCAUCAGAUGUGCCCAGAUGGGAUUAGCUAGUAGGUGGGGUAACUCCAGCUCACCCUAGGCGACGAUCUAGCUGGUCUGAGAGGAUGACCAGCCACACUGGAACUGAGACACGGUCAGACUCCUGCAGGAGGCAGCAGUGGGAAUAUUGCACAAUGGGCGCAAGCCUGAUGCAGCCAUGCCGCGUGUAUGAAGAAGGCCUUCAGGGUUAUAAAGUACUUUCAGGAGGAAGGUGUUGUGGUUAAUAACCGCAGCAAUUGACGUUACCCGCAGAAAAGCUUUCCCGGCUAACUCCGUGCCAGCAGCCGCGGUAAUACGGAGGUGCAAGCGUUAAUCGGAAUUACUGGGCGUAAAGCGCACGCAGGCAGUCUGUCAAAUCGGAUGUGAAAUCCCCAGGCUCAGCUUUGGGAACUGCAUUCGAAACUGGCAGGCUGGAGUCUUUAAUAGAGGGGGUAGAAUUCAGUGUAGCAGUGAAAUGCGUAGGAUCUGGAGAAUACCCGGUGGCGGCGGCCCGGACAAAGGCCUUGACGCUCAGGUUUUAAAGCGUGGGGGAGCAAACAGGAUUAGAUACCCACAGUAGUCACGCCGUAAACGAUGUCGAUUUGGAGGUUGUGCCCUUGACGUGGCUUCGAACUAGCGCGUUAAAUCGACCCCUGCAGGAGUACGGCCGCAAGGUUAAAACUCAAAUGAAUUGACGGGGCCCACACAAGCAGCGGUGGAGCAUGUGGUUUAAUUCAGUACAGCACGAAAGAACUUACACAGUCUUGACAUCCACAGAACUUUCAGAGAUGGAUUGGUGCCUUCGGGAACUGUAAGACAGGUGCUGCAUGGCUGUCGUCAGCUCGUGUUGUGAAAUGUUGGGUUAGAAGUCCCGCAACGAGCGCAACCCUAUAUCGCUUUGUUGCCCGGUUCGGCCGGGAACUCAAAGGAGACUGCCAGUGAUAAACUGGAGGAAGGUGGGGAUGACGUCAAAGUCAUCAUGGCCUUACGACCAGGGCUACACGUGCUACAAUGGCGCAUACAAAGAGAAGCGACCUCGCGAGAGCAAGCGGACCUCAUAAAGUGCGUCGUAGUCCGGAUUGGAGUGCAGCUCAAACUCCAUGAAGUCGGAAUCGCUAGUAAUCGUGAGAUCAGAAUGCUACGGUGAAUACGUUCCCGGGCCUUGUACACACCGCCCGUCACACCAUGGGAGUGGGUUAAAGAAGUAGGUAGCUUAACUCUUCGAGAGGGCGCUACCACUUUGUGAUUCAUGACUGGGGUGAAGUCAACAAGGUAAAUUGCAGGGAACCUGCGGUUGAUCACCUCCUUA
rnacentral:rRNA from 1 species